rnacentral:lncRNA from 1 species
CUCGCGCAUCUUGGCCGUGUCUCGUUUCCAGUGCCCUAAACAAGUGUAAUUUGACAAAUUUACAUGUAAACAUUAAGGAGUGAGGAAGUUAAAACGAUACCAAUCGAGUUUUAGAGCUUUGGUGACCAUUUUAAAAGAAUAUAUCAUAAAUUCAAAGGUAAGUCUAUCGUACUGCAUUGUCUUAAAUGAAUUCUCAGCUGAAAUACGGCAAUAAAUGGAUCAUAAACGUAGCUAAAUUUACUGUUGACAACGAGAUCCAUUGCUUUUUUGCCUUGAAUAGCUUUACCAUAGUCAUUUUACCUUAAAAUGUAGCUACUGAGGAUAUCUCUAAGAGAUUUACACAGAUUAUUUGCACAAUCUCACGAUUUAAUCAUGCUGACAACAUGAAAAUCCUUGUGCCAUUCUAUACUUGGCAUAAUCUCUACAUCAAUAGUUCACCAGUUCACUAAUAUAAAUUCAAUAUAUUUUUGAACCAGUCCAUAUAUUAUUAUACACAAUGUAGUAUAGUUAAUUUGACCAUAUUUGAGAAGUAAGGGUGUAUUUCAUUACACAGACACUGCUGAAUUUUAGGUUACAUGCCAUUGGAUUGAUAUAUGAAAAACACUUGUAAAACACACACAUUUUUAUCUUGUUGAUAGAAUAGUUAUUUGCAGUAUACUAACUGUUGGCAUACUCUAUUUCAGGACUAUCAAUUGUUUUUGUCACUGACAGUCUUUGAAAUACAAUCUUGCUCUGUGGCCUUUACUGACAAGUUGGCUUUUACUACAUAUGUGGCACUGACACUUCUUUAAUUAAUGCACCAGUCAACGUAAACCCCCCAACUGGGGAAGGGCAGGGAUUUUGACUUGGAGGGGUAGUAAAAGAGCGAAAUUGGCCCCGCCCCCAGGGACAUCAAUGUCCCCUGCAUGUCUCUCAACCCCAGGAAAAUAGUUUGUAUAA